AUGGAUUCAUGCUUGGCGUUGGUUUAUGAAAAUGACUCACAAGUCUGAUCCAUGGAAAAAAAUAUUACGAAGAAAAAAUUUCACACAUGCAAAAAAGGGAAUUUAAGUAUAAUGCAUUAUUCAAACAAAAGAAAUAGCAUGCAAAGCUCUUCUUUAAAUAAUAUUACCUCCAUCCAAAAAUAUAAUUCAAGAAUAUCGGUGAUACUUAUCUACUACUACGCAUUGUGCAAUGGUAGCAAGUGAGCUUGGAGAGAGAUGUAGUAGAUGUGUUUCCUGUCAUAGAUGUAGACAUAAACACAUAUAGAUGGGUGUCCGUGCGUUGCAACGGAAACAUUUAAUAUCAUGAUAACUUAUGAACAAAUGUGUGUUAUACUGUUAUGUGAAAAUGUUUCGUAAUUAAUUUGUGAUCCUAGCCAUACAUAAAUUUUGUUAUUUCAAUCUAACUAUUUCAUCACUACAUUGCAACCAACAGUACCGUGCAGACUUCUAUACAUGAUAGCUGAAUGUCCGUGCGUUGCAACGAGAAUAUAUAAUACCAGUAUACUACGAUAACUUAUGUGUUAUACCGUUAUGAGAAAAUGUUUCAUAAUCAAUUUGUGAUUCUGGCCAUACAUAAAUUUUGUUAUUUAUAAUCUAUCUGUUUCACCACUACAUUGCAACCAUCAGUAUCAUGCAGACUUUGAUAUAUAUCACGAUUUGUAUGAUCUCAUUAUUGGAGAGCAUGUUUCACACAUACCGGAAGAAAUUCUCUCGUACAUCGUUAGUCAUUGGACACGUACCACCAUACGCUUUUGCUUAAACAAAAAGGUAAGUGUGUGUUUGCAAGACUAAUUGUCAAACAUCGUAUAACCACAAAGUUAGAAUACUAUAUUAAUAUAUUAAAUAAAUGUCGGCGUUUCGAGACAGGGGGGUCCCUAAGCCGACGAGUGAGUGUGCUGCGUGCCCCAGCCCAGAUGGGUCGAGCGCGUGGGCGAGCGCGAAGGGGGGAGAGGCGAGGUGGCCGGAGUCGAGCGUGAGAGAGGUGGAAGUCCCGCGGCCUUCGUGUUCGUCCCGCGCCCAGGUCGGGUGCGCUUGCAGUAGGGGGGUUACAAGCGUCCACGCGGGUGAGGGAAGCGAGCGGCCCCAAGAGAGCGCCUGUCCCGUCCUCGGUCCCGCGCGGCCAACCUUCUCUAAGAAGGCCCUGGUCCUCCCUUUUAUAGUCGUAAGGAGAGGAUCCAGGUGUACAAUGGGGGGUGUAGCAGAGUGCUACGUGUCUAGCGGAGGGAGAGCUAGCGCCCUAGGUACAUGCCAAUGUGGCAGCCGGAGAGAUCUGGGCACCCUGCUGGCGUGAUGUCGUGGCUGUCGGAGGUGCGGCGGAGCCUGGCGGAGGGACAGCUGUUGGAGCGGUCGAGUCCCUGCUGACGUCGUCCUGCUUCCGUAAGAGAGCUGGGGGCCGCCGUCGUCAUAGAGCUUGUGGAGCGCCAUCAUUGCCCCUCCGGCGGAGCUGGCCGGAUGGGACGCCGGUCUUGUUCUCCGUGACCCGAGUCGAUUCGGGGUAGGAUGAUGAUGGCGCUUCCUGUUGACGUGGCGGUCUGUGCCCUAGGCAGGGCGACGUGGGGGUUCCUCCGAAGCCGAGGUUGAGUCUGCCUUCCGUUGCCGUGGCCGAGCCCGAGCCAUGGGGUCGGGCGAGGCGGAAGUCGUUCGGCCGAGGCCAGGGCGGAGUCCGAGCCCUAGGGUCGGGCGAGGCGGAGUUUCGUCGUCUUCCGGGUCUUAGCCCGAGUCCGAGCCCUGGGGUCGGGCGGAGCGGAGUUUCGUCGUCUUCCGGGUCUUAGCCCGAGUCCGAGCCCUGGGGUCGGGCGGAGCGGAGUUCGCCGUCUUCCGGGUCUUAGCCCGAGUCCGAGCCCUGGGGUCGGGCGGAGCGGAGUUCGCCGUCUUCCGGGUCUUAGCCCGAGUCCGAGCCCUGGGGUCAGGCGGAGCGGAGUUCGCCGUCUUCCGGGUCUUAGCCCGAGUCCGAGCCCUGGGGUCGGGCGGAGCGGAGUUCGCCGUCUUCCGGGUCUUAGCCCGAGUCCGAGCCCUGGGGUCGGGCGGAGCGGAGUUCGCCGUCUUCCGGGUCUUAGCCCGAGUCCGAGCCCUGAGGUCGGGCGGGGCGGAGUUCGCCAUGGCGCCUUUGGCAAGGCCUGACUGCCUGUCAGACUCACUCUGUCGAGUGGCACUGCAGUCGGAGUGGCGCAGGCGGCGCUGUCCUUCUGUCAGACUGGCCAGUGGAGCGGUGGAGUGACGGCGGUCACUUCGGCUCUGCCGGGGGCGCGUGUCAGGAUGAAGGUGUCAGGCCACCUUUGCGUUAAAUGCCCCCGCAAUUUGGUCAGUCGGUGUGGCGAUUUAGUCAAGGUUGCUUCUGAGCGAAGCCAAGGCCUCGGGCGAGCCGGUGAUGUGUCCGCCAUAAAAAGGGGGCCUCGGGCGAGACGGAAGUCUCUUGAGGUCGGCUGCCCUUGGCCGAGGCUAGGCUCGGGUGAAGCGUGAUCGAGUCACUCGUGUGGACUGAUCCCUGACUUAAUCGUACCCAUCAGGCCUUUGCAGCUUUAUGCUGAUGGGGGUUACCAGCUGAGAAUUAGGCGUCUUGAGGGUACCCCUAAUUAUGGUCCCCGACAGUAGCCCCCGAGCCUCGAAGGGAGUGUUAGCACUCGCUUGGAGGCUUUUGUCGCACUUUUUUGCAAGGGGACCAGCCUUUCUCGGUUGCAUUUCGUUCCGGUGGGUGCGCGCGAGCGCACCCGCCGGGUGUAGCCCCCGAGGCCUCGGAGGAGUGGUUACACUCCUUCGAGGUCUUAAUACCACGCGCAAUGCUUCGGCUGGUCUGGUCGUUCCCUCAUGCGAACUGGCCGUAGCCCGGGUGCACGGUCGGGGUCCAAGCUCUCGGGCUGGUAUGUUGACGCUGUCAACGAUUUGGCCGGAGCCGGUUUUUGCGAGAGAAGCCCCCGAGCCUCUGCACAGGGCGAGAGGGCGAUCAGGGACAGACUCGACUUUUUACAUACGCCCCUACGUCGCCUUUCCGCAAGGAGGAGGGGGGGAGUGCGCCAUGUUACCCUCGAUGGGCACCGAACAUGGUGUCUCCGGUGAGCUGCAAGCGGGUAAUCCGAGUGGACGUUCGUGCCCCGUUCGUUGGGGGUCGGCUACGGGCCCAGAGGCACGCCCAAAAGUACCUGCGGGUGAUUUGCCGGACCCGGUCCCCUGGCGACGGGGUCCGAGGGCUCGAUGCCUCCCUCCGAUGGGAUUCCGUUACAAGAUCGUUCCCGCUGGUCUCGGAAAUGUCCUAGGGUACCUCGGGAGCGCAGCCCGAGCCUUGGUUAUGUAUCGAACGUACCCCUGGUCAUCCCUCGCUCGGUGUCUGAGGCGACUGUGAACCCUUCGGGGGCCAGCCUUCGAACCCCUGAUCAGUAAUGGGCGCGGAGCCCGAGUAGCCUGAGGCGGCCAUGGAACCCUUCGGGGGGCUGGCCUUCGAACCCCUGACCAGUAGUGGGUGUCGGGCCCACGCGAUCUGAGGCGGCUGUUGAACCCUUCGGAGGGCCAGCCUUCGAACCCCUGAUCAGUAGUGGGGGGCUCGGAGCCCGGUUCCUUCGCGGAGAAGGAUCCCUUUCGGGGUAUCCCCCUUUCCCGGUCCCUGUUGCAAGAGAUAGAGAAAGAGGAAAACGGAAAAGGAUAUGAAAUCGGACGACAUGGCGUACCUUUUCUGACGCGAUUAUUACGGCGAAGGUGAAGCGUCGCGCGCUCCUCCUGCCAGAGGCGCCGCGUGUCCCGCCGCGGAGUUAAUGCGACGGGGCGAGUGGUUGGCGGGGCGGCUGUUGCGCGCGUGCGAUCCGUUCGAGGAACGGGUCACGGGUGCACCGUCUCCACGCCGUGAGAGGAGGCUCUCUUGCUGUCCCAGGAUGGGACGUGAGCCUGGCUGACGACGUGACCGUUGCGCCCGCCCGCCUGCUACCGCUAUUACUGCCGGCCCACUUUCGGUCGCUUUGACCGACGCGCCAGGCUGGCGCUGUUGGGUCGCCUCGAGUCGCGGCAUUGGCUCCGCAACCGAAGAGGCGCGAUGGUGGCACAAGUGGCGGUGCGGUUGCUUGCAUGCAGCAACUGGCGCGCCGGUUGCUCGACGCGUGGGCCUGGGUUCCCAAGCUGGCGUGUCAGAAGUUGGAGAAGCGCGCCCAUCUGGCGCGGUUGCAUGCCGCCUGCAUGGCUGCCCGCCCCUUCUGCCCGUUGGUCUGGGCGGAAAUGGGGGGUCGCUUGUAACCGCUGGACGGUCGUGCGCACCACGCGCGGCGGUUCGGCUUCUUCUGCCCUGAGCCGGCUUGCAUGACAUGCGGGACCCAGCCCCCGAGUCGCAGGGGAGGGCCUUGGAGCGUGUCGUAGAAGACUCGGCUUGCGGCGCCUGGGGGCGCACGUAGGGAGAGUUGCCUUUAAAAGGAGGGAGACUCCUUUCGGAAUGCAACCAUGUCUUCUUCCUCCCUUAAGCGUCGUGUCUUCCCAUCUUCCAAGCCCCCGGAUGGGGGGUAUCCGCCGCCUUUCCGCCUCCUCGUUGGAGGAACGCAACUCCAUGGGAGUUGGUACCUCUCAGCCAUCGUUCGGCUUCAAGGAUUUUCAUCACGCAGCCCGGUCGCACCCCUUCACCGGCGGUCACCCGAGAUGGCGACCUCCGGCUUGAUGGUGGGGGAAAGCGAGCCGGGCUGCGGCCUCUGCCCCUCCCUCAGCCUCAAGGAUUUUCAUCACCGAGGCUGGGGAGGGGAGAGUGCCGAGUUGGGGUCGGCCCCUGCGUGGGCGGUGGCCCGCUCCUUCACUCAGUGAUGGGGGGAGAAGCGGGUAUUGCCCGUGGCGUCCGGCAGCUGCAGCGUGCCCGGUCUUCAGCCGCGAGUGGCUUCGGGGCCGCUCACGGCGCCGGCGUCCGCCACGGCAGCGGGAAAAGGUUCUUCCGCCGGCGCGGCGGCCGGGACCGGCCACGGGCUGACCUCCAACUUCUCGGCCUUCUGCCCGUCCUUGCCUCACAAGUUUUGGCAUGGGCGGGGGCCUCCGGGCAGCGGCAUCGACCCUGAGGUCAGUGUUGCCGUUGUUCGGCCCCCCGGAGCAGAAGUCGUCGUUGUCGCCGCUGCCGGAGCAGGUGACGGCGCGCCGUUCGUCAGCCUUCCGUUGCUCCGCAGGCCUUCCCCCUCGAAGUGGGGUCGUUCGUGCCUGCGGAGGGGGAACCGGAGCUCCGUUCGUAAUGGCACUUCGAAUGCCAGUGUUUUUUUGUUCAUUGCGGCUGUCGGGGCCUGAACAUGUAUGUAAUUUCGGCACGGAGCCGUGUUUUUUCCUCAUUUUCGAGCACUAAGUCUCGCCUGUUGAUUAUCUGAACCGCUUUACCAAGCAUGAGUCGCCCCGUGCCAAGGUGACGGGUGAGGUAUCUGUAUCCCGGAGGCGUAGGAAUCCCUCGGCCCGUUCGGCCUUGUUGUCUGGGGUUCCUCUAGCUUAGUUAAAGAGACCCCUCGGCCGCCCUUCGGUGGACCGAGGCCAGGGGUAGCGAUAUCAGUAUGAACAGAGGCGGAGUUGGCUCGAGAAUGGGAACCUGGUUGGCCGGAGCCUAGCCGUGUUGUCCGUCAGCGGAGCCGACGCCGAAGUCGAUCAGUCGAGGCCUCGGGUCGGGCUGGCGCCCUCGGAAGCCGGUUGACCGAGGCCCCAGGGGUAACCGGUCGAGCCGCCUGCUCGGGCCGGAUUCCCGGAGGAGUCCCUGGGCCGCGUCACCGCCCGAGGCUGGGUCGGGCUUUGCUGAAGACGUCGUUGAUGCCGAGGGUGCUACGGCUCCCUUCAGCGUGAAGACCCGAGCCUGCAGGAUCAGAUCAUCUUGUAGCGUGUGCUUUCUGCGGCCGCCGAGGCCAGAAAAACACACCCUCGCCGCGCUUGCGAAGCUGCGUCUUUUUUCCUCUUGUUUCGAGCAUCUGGACUCUGUCGGUAACAGGGAUGUUUGUGUGAGCGAGAGUUGCUUUUCGCGGAAGGGACGAGUGAGGUAUCCGUAUCCCCGAGGCGUGGGAAUCCCUCGGCUCGGUCGGCCUUGCCGCUUACGCGUACUUUCACCCGUCCAUGAGGCCCUGUCCCCGACUUAGUCGAGAAGGCUUGAAGGACUGCUUCGGCAGGAGAGCUUCCGAACGUGAAGACUUGUUCGGUCCACGGAGUCGCUUUAUCCGAGCGCAAGUUACUUAUCGCAGAAGGUGAUGAGUGAGGUAUCCGUAUCCCGGAGGCGUAGGAGUCCCUCGGCUCGGUCAGCCUUGACUGCUUACGUGUACUCCGUCGUUUCCAGGAUCCGCUUUCCGAAGUAGUCAAGAAGCACGAAAGAAAUCCUGCUAAAAAGAGAUCCUUUUUCGAGGAAAAAUUCGACGCAGAGGGGGUCUCCCCCCUUUUAGCCCCCGAGGGAGGGUCGGGCUUUGCCGAGGCUAAGCCGACCCUUCCUUGACGACUAAACUUUGCGUAGGUGCGAGGUAUAUGAACAACUUGAAAACAUCUUAAGGGUAGAAGCGACGUAGCUGUUUGAUGUUCCAAGCGUUGUCGUAGAUCUCGCCUUGAUGGUUGGCCAGCUUGUAUGUUCCGGGCUUCAGAACUUUGGCGAUGACGAAUGGCCCUUCCCAGGGGGGCGUGAGCUUGUGCCUCCCUCGGGCGUCUUGCCGCAGCCGAAGCACCAGAUCGCCCACCUGGAGUUCUCGGGACCGGACCCCUCGGGCGUGGUAGCGUCGCAGGGACUGUUGGUACCGCGCCGAGUGUAGUAAGGCCCUGUCCCGAGCUUCCUCCAGCUGGUCCAGCGAUUCCUCUCGGCUAGCUUGGUUGCUUUGUUCGGUGUAGGCCCUCGCCCUCGGGGAGCCGUAUUCCAGGUAGUGGGCAAGAUAGCUUCAGCCCCGUAGACCAGGAAAAACGGCGUGAAGCCCGUGGCACGACUCGGCGUCGUCCUUAGGCUCCAGACCACCGAGGGGAGUUCCUUCAUCCAUCGCUUGCCGAACUUGUUGAGGUCGUUGUAGAUCUGAGGCUUGAGCCCUUGUAGAAUCAUGCCGUUGGCACGCUCUACUUGCCCAUUCGACAUGGGAUGAGCCACGGCGGCCCAGUCCACCCGGAUAUGGUGAUCCUCGCAAAAAUCCAAGAAUUUUUUGCCGGUAAACUGGGUGCCGUUGUCGGUGAUGAUGGAGUUCGGGACCCCGAAGCGAUGGAUGAUGUUGGUGAAGAACGCCACCGCCUGCUCGAACCUGAUGCUGUUCAGAGGUCGGACCUCGAUCCACUUGGAGAAUUUGUCGAUGGCGACCAGCAGGUGCGUGUAGCCCCCGGGCGCCUUCUGCAAGGGACCGACGAGGUCUAGACCCCAUACAGCGAAGGGCCAAGUGACGGGUAUUGUUUGCAGGGCCUGAGCGGGCAGGUGUGUCCGCUUCGCAUAGAAUUGGCACCCUUCGCAGGUGCGGACAAUUCUAGUGGCGUCAGCCACCGCCGUUGGCCAGUAGAAGCCUUGCCGGAAAGCAUUUCCGACAAGGGCUCGGGGCGCUGCGUGGUGGCCGCAAGCCCCCGAGUGUAUUUCUUGCAGCAGUUCCCGACCUUCGGCGAUGGAGAUGCAUCGCUGGAGGAUGCCCGAGGGGCUGCGAUGGUAGAGCUCCUCUUCGUCGCCCAGCAAGACGAAUGACUUGGCGCGUCGUGCUACCCGCCGAGCCUCGACUUGGUCGAGGGGUAGCUCUCCUCGAUGGAGAUAUUGCAGGUACGGGGCCUGCCAAUCUUGAUCUGGCGUGGCCCCGCUCUGCCCUUCCUCGACGUUCAGUGCCUCACUUUCGGAGGCCGAGGGUACCUUGGGCUAUGCCGAGGGUACAUCGGGCUGUGACGAGGGUACCUCGGGCUGAGCCGAGGGUACCUCGGGCUCGGGCGCGUCGUCGAGCUUGACGGAGGGUUGAUGCAGAUCCCGGGAGAAGACGUCCGGGGGGACUGUCGUUCGCCCCGAGGCUAUCUUAGCCAGCUCGUCUGCGGUUUCGUUGUAGCGCCGAGCGAUGUGGUUGAGCUCGAGCCCGAAGGACUUGUCUUCCAGGCGCCGAACCUCGUCGCAGUAGGCCUCCAUCUUUGGGUCGCGGCAGUGGGAGUUCUUCAUGACUUGAUCGAUGACGAGCUGCGAAUCACCGCGGGCGUCGAGGCGUCUGACCCCUAGCUCGAUGGCGAUCCGCAAUCCGUUGACCAGAGCUUCGUACUCGGCCACAUUGUUGGACGCCGGGAAAUGGAGGUGCAGCACGUAGCGCAAGUGCUUUUCGAGGGGCGAGAUGAAGAGCAGGCCUGCGCCGGCCCCCGUCUUCAUCAGCGACCCGUCGAGAAACAUGGUCCAGAGCUCCGGUUGGAUCGGAGUCGUUGGCAGCUGGGUGUCGACCCAUUCGGCCACGAAAUCCGCCAAUACCUGGGACUUGAUGGCCUUCCGAGGGGCGAACAAGAUCGUUUCACCCAUGAUUUCCACCGCCCACUUUGCGAUCCUGCCCGAGGCCUCUCGGCACUGGAUGAUCUCCCCCAGGGGGAUGGAUGACACCACAGUUACCGGAUGAGACUCGAAGUAGUGUCGCAGCUUCCGCCUUGUCAGGAUCACAGCAUACAGCAGCUUUUGAACUUGCGGGUAGCGGAUCUUAGUCUCGGACAGCACUUCGCUGAUGAAGUAGACCGGCCUCUGAACGGGCAAUGCAUGCCCUUCCUCUUGCCUUUCGACCACAAUCGCGGCGCUAACCACCUGAGUGGUCGCGGUGACGUAGACCAAGAGGGCUUCUCCGUCCGCCGGGGGCACCAAGACAGGCGCCUUUGUAAGGAGCGCCUUCAGGUUGCCGAGGGCUUCCUCGGCCUCGGGGGUCCAAGCGAAACACUCGGCCUUCCUUAAGAGGCGGUACAGAGGCAGACCUCUUUCACCGAGGCGUGAGAUGAAGCGGCUCAGGGCCGCGAGGCAUCCCAUGACCCUCUGUACCCCUUUUAAGUCCUUGAUGGGUCCCAUGCUGGCGAUGGCCGCGAUCUUCUCCGGGUUGGCUUCGAUGCCUCGCUCGGAGACGAUGAACCCUAGGAGCAUGCCUCGGGGCACCCCGAAGACACACUUCUCAGGAUUAAGCUUGACUCCUUUCGCCUUGAGACACCGGAAUGUCACUUCAAGGUCGGAGAGGAGGUCGGAAGCCUUCCUUGUCUUGACUACGAUGUCAUCGACGUAGGCCUCGACUGUGCGACCGAUGUGUUCGCCGAACACAUGGUUCAUGCACCGCUGGUACGUCGCGCCCGCAUUCCUCAAACCGAACGGCAUGGUGACAUAGCAGUACAUGCCGAACGGCGUGAUGAAAGAAGUCGCGAGCUGGUCGGACUCUUUCAUCCGGAUCUGGUGAUACCCUGAGUAGGCAUCGAGGAAGGACAGGGUUUCGCACCCAGCGAUGGAAUCCACGAUUUGGUCGAUGCGAGGCAGAGGGUAGGGAACCUUCGGACAUGCUUUGUUGAGACCAGUGUAGUCUACACACAUCCGCCAUUUCCCCCCUUUCUUCCUCACAAGCACAGGGUUGGCAAGCCAUUCGGGAUGGAAUACCUCUUUGAUGAACCCUGCUGCCAUUAGCUUGUGGAUCUCUUCGCCAAUCACUCUGCGCUUCUCCUCGUCGAAUCGGCGCAGAGGCUGCCUGACGGGUCGGGCUCCGGCCCGAAUAUCCAGCGAGUGCUCGGCGACAUCCCUCGGUAUGCCGGGCAUGUCCGAGGGACUCCACGCAAAGACGUCGGCGUUCGCGCGGAGAAAGUCGACGAGCACUGCUUCUUAUUUGGGGUCGAGCCCGGAACCGAUCCGGACCUGCUUGGUGGUGUCGCCACUGGGGUCGAGAGGGACGGCCUUGACCGUCUCCGCUGGCUCGAAGUUGCCGGCGUGGCGCUUCACGUCUGGCACCUCCUUGGAGAGGUUCUCCAGGUCGGCGAUGAGGGCCUCGGACUCGGCGAGGGCCUCGGCGUACUCCACGCACUCCACGUCGCAUUCGAACGCGUGUUUGUACGUGGGGCCGACGGUGAUGACCCCGUUGGGGCCCGGCAUCUUGAGCUUCAAGUAGGUGUAGUUGGGGACGGCCAUGAACUUCGCGUAGCAUGGCCUCCCUAGCACGGCGUGGUAGGUUCCUCGGAACCCGACCACCUCGAACGUCAGGGUCUCCCUUCGGAAGUUGGAGGGUGUCCCGAAGCAGACGGGGAGGUCGAGUCGCCCGAGGGGCUGGACGCGCUUCCCAGGGAUGAUCCCGUGGAAGGGCGCAGCGCCUGCUCGGACGGAGGACAGAUCGAUGCGCAGGAGCUUGAGGGUCUCGGCGUAGAUGAUGUUGAGGCAGCUGCCCCCAUCCAUCAGGACCUUGGUGAGCCUGACAUCGCCGACAACGGGGUCGACGACGAGCGGGUAUUUCCCCGGGCUCGGCACAUGAUCGGGGUGGUCGGCCUGGUCGAAAGUGAUGGGCUUGUCGGACCAGUCUAGGUAGACUUGCGCCGCCACCUUCACCGAGCAGACCUCCCGGCGCUCUUGCUUGCGGUGCCGAGCCGAGGUAUUCGCCGCAUGCCCUCCAUAGAUCAUGAAGCAGUCGCGGACCUCGGGGAAUUCUCCUGCUAGGUGAUCUUCGUUCUUGUCGUCGUCGCGGGUCCUGCCACCCUCGGCGGGUGGCCCGGCCCUGUGGAAGUGACGCCGAAGCAUAACGCACUCCUCGAGGGUGUGCUUGACGGGCCCCUGAUGGUAGGGGCACAGCUCCUUGAGCAUCUUGUCGAAGAGGUUUGCACCUCCGGGGGGCUUCCGAGGGUUCUUAUACUCGGCGGCGGCGACAAGGUCCGCGUCAGCGGCGUCGCGUUUCGAUUGCGACUUCUUCUUGCCUUUCUUCUUGGCGCCGCACGGAGCAGACGCCUCGGGAGCUUCUUCCGAUGGGCGGCCCUGGGGCUGCUUGUCCUUUCGGAAGAUAGCCUCGACCGCCUCCUGGCCAGAGGCGAACUUGGUGGCGAUGUCCAUCAGCUCGCUCGCCCUGGUGGGGGUCUUGCGACCCAGCUUGCUCACCAGGUCGCGGCAAGUGGUGCCGGCGAGGAACGCGCCGAUGACAUCCGAGUCGGUGAUGUUGGGCAGCUCGGUGCGCUGCUUCGAGAAUCGCCGGAUGUAGUCCCGAAGCGGCUCCCCUGGCUGUUGCCGGCAGCUUCGAAGGUCCCAAGGAUUCCCGGGGCGCACGUAUGUGCCCUGGAAAUUGCCAGCGAAGGCUUGGACCAAGUCGUCCCAGUUGGAGAUCUGCCCCGGAGGCAGGUGCUCCAACCAGGCGCGAGCAGUGUCGGAGAGGAACAGGGGGAGGUUACGGAUGAUGAGGUUGUCGUCGUCCGUUCCACCCAGUUGGCAGGCAAGGCGGUAGUCCGCGAGCCACAGUUCCGGUCUCGUUUCCCCCGAGUACUUCGUGAUAGUAGUCGGGGGUCGGAACCGGGUCGGGAAUGGCGCCCGUCGGAUGGCCCGACUGAAGGCCUGCGGACCGGGUGGUUCGGGCGAGGGACUCCGAUCCUCCCCGCUGUCGCAGCGCCCCCACGCCUGGGGUGGUAGCCUCGGCGCACCCUUUCGUCGAGGUGAGCCCGACGGUCGCGUCGAUGGUGCUCGUUGCCGAGGUGGCCCGGGGCCGCAGGCGCGGUGUUGCGCGUGCGCCCGGUGUAGACCGAGGCUUCCCGCAUGAAUCGGGAAGUCGCGGCGUGAGGUUCCGAGGGAUAACCUUGCCUUCGGGAGGCAGUGCUCUCGGCCCGCCGGGCCGCAGCGCCUUCCAGGAGAUUCUUGAGUUCUCCCUGGAUUCGCCGACCCUCGGUGGUUGACGGCUCCGGCAUCGCGCGGAUGAGCAUUGCUGCGGUUGCCAGGUUCUGACCAACCCCGCUGGAUGCGGGCGGCGGCCUGAUCCUGACAUCGUUGGCGACGCGGUGCUGGAGACCUUGGGGCAGGUGACGUAUUUCUCCGGCCAGGGGUUGGCCCACCCAUGCUUGUCCGACGUCCCGACGGAUCGGCUCAAGCGCUCAUGUUCCCUCGUUGAGCCUGGCCUGCGCCUCGCGGACUUGCUCAAGUUGUGGGUCGUAACCCCCCGCCGGAGCGGGGACCACAGCUAGCUCCCGUGGGAUGUCGGCGCGAGGCACCGGCCUAGGGAGAUCACCGUCCUCCGGCAUGCCAAGAUGGUUGCCUUCGGAGGGAUCCCCUAGCUCGAUGUGGAAACAUUCGCGGCUUGGGCCGCAGCUCUCGUCGCCAAGGCUGCGGCUUCCAUCGGAACAGUCGGAUAGGCAGUAGUCACAUGCGGUCAUGAAGUCCCGCACGGCACUGGGGUUGCCAAGUCCGGAGAAAUCCCAAGCGAUGCUGGGAUCGUCAUCUUCCUCGGACCCAGAGGGCCCGUAGGUCGAGACGUCCGUCAGUCGGUCCCAAGACGACCGCAUACGGAACCUCAGUGGGGUUGCACUCGCCUCAAUGAGAGCGCCCGCCAAAACGAGGUCGUUUGGCGGGUUGAGGCCGAGUCGAAAUGACGCAAGAUGGGAGUUAGUCGGUACCUUUUGGUCGACGAGGAGCGACGUAGCCACAUCGGGGACUGGUUGCACCGUCAUCUCUGGUUCGAGGGCGACGUCCUACAGGCUUUCCGCGAGCACGCCGGCGUCGUCUUCUUGCUCAGGGUCAGCGUGCCGCGGGGGGACGGCGCUUGCCUCCGUCUCGAACGCGAGGUCGACGUCCGGCGUGUCCUCCGUCGGGGCGUCGGGGGCGUCGAUUCGCUCGACGGCCGACGAAGCGCGGCCUCCCACCUGGCCUUGACGGCCCCGCCUCCUCCUCCGUUGGCGGGGGAGAGAACGGAGCGAGCCCGAAUGUUGCCCUUCCACCACGCGGGGAAGACGUUGUCGAUUCCGCCGCCGGCGGGCGGGUUGUCGGCCGCCAUUGUCGUAGUCGCGCGGCGGUGGAAGAAGUAUCAUGUCGUAGCUGCCGUCGAAGGACAUGAACUCAAGAGUCCCGAAACGAAGCACCGUCCUGGGCCGGAGAGGUUGCUGGAGACUGCCCAUCUGGAGCUUGACGGGGAGCUGUUCGUCAGCACGCAGCAGGCCCCUACCUGGCGCGCCAACUGUCGGCGUUUCGAGACAGGGGGGUCCCUAAGCCGACGAGUGAGUGUGCUGCGUGCCCCAGCCCAGAUGGGUCGAGCGCGUGGGCGAGCGCGAAGGGGGGAGAGGCGAGGUGGCCGGAGUCGAGCGUGAGAGAGGUGGAAGUCCCGCGGCCUUCGUGUUCGUCCCGCGCCCAGGUUGGGUGCGCUUGCAGUAGGGGGGUUACAAGCGUCCACGCGGGUGAGGGAAGCGAGCGGCCCCAAGAGAGCGCCUGUCCCGUCCUCGGUCCCGCGCGGCCAACCUUCUCUAAGAAGGCCCUGGUCCUCCCUUUUAUAGUCGUAAGGAGAGGAUCCAGGUGUACAAUGGGGGGUGUAGCAGAGUGCUACGUGUCUAGCGGAGGGAGAGCUAGCGCCCUAGGUACAUGCCAAUGUGGCAGCCGGAGAGAUCUGGGCACCCUGCUGGCGUGAUGUCGUGGCUGUCGGAGGUGCGGCGGAGCCUGGCGGAGGGACAGCUGUUGGAGCGGUCGAGUCCCUGCUGACGUCGUCCUGCUUCCGUAAGAGAGCUGGGGGCCGCCGUCGUCAUAGAGCUUGUGGAGCGCCAUCAUUGCCCCUCCGGCGGAGCUGGCCGGAUGGGACGCCGGUCUUGUUCUCCGUGACCCGAGUCGAUUCGGGGUAGGAUGAUGAUGGCGCUUCCUGUUGACGUGGCGGUCUGUGCCCUAGGCAGGGCGACGUGGGGGUUCCUCCGAAGCCGAGGUUGAGUCUGCCUUCCGUUGCCGUGGCCGAGCCCGAGCCAUGGGGUCGGGCGAGGCGGAAGUCGUUCGGCCGAGGCCAGGGCGGAGUCCGAGCCUUGGGGUCGGGCGAGGCGGAGUUUCGUCGUCUUCCGGGUCUUAGCCCGAGUCCGAGCCCUGGGGUCGGGCGGAGCGGAGUUUCGUCGUCUUCCGGGUCUUAGCCCGAGUCCGAGCCCUGGGGUCGGGCGGAGCGGAGUUCGCCGUCUUCCGGGUCUUAGCCCGAGUCCGAGCCCUGGGGUCGGGCGGAGCGGAGUUCGCCGUCUUCCGGGUCUUAGCCCGAGUCCGAGCCCUGGGGUCGGGCGGAGCGGAGUUCGCCGUCUUCCGGGUCUUAGCCCGAGUCCGAGCCCUGGGGUCGGGCGGAGCGGAGUUCGCCGUCUUCCGGGUCUUAGCCCGAGUCCGAGCCCUGAGGUCGGGUGGGGCGGAGUUCGCCGUGGCGCCUUUGGCAAGGCCUGACUGCCUGUCAGACUCACUCUGUCGAGUGGCACUGCAGUCGGAGUGGCGCAGGCGGCGAUGUCCUUCUGUCAGACUGGCCAGUGGAGCGGUGGAGUGACGGCGGUCACUUCGGCUCUGCCGGGGGCGCGUGUCAGGAUGAAGGUGUCAGGCCACCUUUGCGUUAAAUGCCCCCGCAAUUUGGUCAGUCGGUGUGGCGAUUUAGUCAAGGUUGCUUCUGAGCGAAGCCAAGGCCUCGGGCGAGCCAGUGAUGUGUCCGCCAUAAAAAGGGGGCCUCGGGCGAGACGGAAGUCUCUUGAGGUCGGCUGCCCUUGGCCGAGGCUAGGCUCGGGUGAAGCGUGAUCGAGUCACUCGUGUGGACUGAUCCCUGACUUAAUCGUACCCAUCAGGCCUUUGCAGCUUUAUGCUGAUGGGGGUUACCAGCUGAGAAUUAGGCGUCUUGAGAGUACCCCUAAUUAUGGUCCCCGACAAUAAAUUAAUCCAAUAGACAUAGAUUAACCCAAUUAACAUAGGAUAAAUAAAUAUCUAAUUAUAAAAGUAUGAAACAUGGUAUAAUCAAUAUUGUUACUGCGUAGUAAAUAUUCAUACGAGACUAACACAACUGGAACGAUUCAAUUUGGAAUUAAAAUGGGGAAGUUACGAAUUUCCAAAGUUUCUAUGUAUUUGAUAUAUGAUUAAUUAGGAAAUCAAUUUUAUUGCCGUUUUCAUGACAAAACAGAGGUAUUAUGUGAUAAAAAUAAUAUUAUAGAAUUAUAGAAAUUGGAAUGAACUCAUUUGGAUUUAAUAUGAAAUUUCCAUGAAUUAAAUGGGUUUCCGCAAUUAUUUUUAAACUAAAAAUCAAUUUCUAAACUCCUUUUCCCUAUUUUCUUUAUUUCCUGGACUGCGUCCCAAAUUCCAGAAAGAUCAGGGGCCAAGCUAUAAAUGUUUUUCUAGACUCAGUUAGCAUACAAAGUGGUCGAUGGGUUAAACACAAAAGACGUUUUAGUUGAAGUUGUAUACAAUUCAACAUGAGUCAUGUUUGGCUAGAGGGUGGAAGGCUAGGCAUUUUGCUCAAUAGAUCUAAGGUUCGAUCCCUAGGCAGCCACAGUUUGAUUUUUUUUCUGCGCGCGGAAAACUGGUGUGCGGGAUUGGACGGCUGAGAUUGUAGAACGGUAGAAUGGACGGCUGAGAUCGCAGAAUGGUAGAACACAAAAAGGCAGGCUACUAUUGCUAACUUAAUAAGUAGUAGAGAUUUUCAGGGACCAAUGGACUACGACUACUAUUUUUCAAAAGUGUAAGGUCCAACCUAGAAGUUUUAGGUCGACUCUGUAAUGUUCUUUACAUUAUUCAGAACUGGGGGUUCAUUCUUUGCAACCUUAAGGGCUCUUUAACAAAACUUCACGGCUGAGUAACACCUGGACAAUUCUGGCCGUUGAUAUCUAAAUCUAGGGUCCUAAUUUCAUGGCCGAGUCGGUAUCUUCAAUUUCUAAUCUCGGGCGUGCGUUUCCCGGUCAGCGGUCCAGAUCACACCUCGUAUAGGUAUUCCCCCACGAUGUAAUCUCAGCCAUUGAUUCAUCGAUCGACAAACCAAGGCACAUCUCCGACCUCCGAUGCUGAGCAACGGCGGCGGCCUCUGCUCUGCGGCGGUAAGGCUCGCCGGCGUCGCGCACGACGGCCAUCCGGUGCUCCGUUCCUCGCCCCGACUGGUGCUUUUCACGAAUAGAAUAACUGGACGGAACACUGCUUACUAGCAAAAGCGACGUGGUGGAGCCGGUCCAUGGCAGGAGGUGGAACCGCGGCGGAGGAAUUGCUCCGUUGAGCAAUUCUUGGGUCCCUAAUGAUUCAUGCACUGAAUCGAGGAUACCAACACGUGCAAAGCUCGCCGACGAUCACCCUGGACUGAUCUCCGUGGACUUGGCGACGAUGUGAACAGGAUCUAGCUUGCGGCGGGUCUUUUCUCUUUCCCUGCUCGCCGGCGAGAUGCUCCUCGACUGCUGCUAAAAUUCUUGGCUCGGCUAGGCUACGGAAAGACUUAGCACGCUCCGACGAACGCGCUCAAGUAUUGUCUGUGGCUGGGUGAUGGCGUGAGCGCGACUUCGGUCGCGGCGAUGACCUCUAUCUCUCGGUUUCUCGCUCUGCCUCGACGUCCGCGCCCCUCGUCGCUCGGCUGGUCCGCGUGAG
rnacentral:lncRNA from 1 species